rnacentral:rRNA from 1 species
GACGAACGCUGGCGGCGUGCUUAACACAUGCAAGUUGAACGGAAAGGCCCUGCUUUUGUGGGGUGCUCGAGUGGCGAACGGGUGAGUAACACGUGAGUAACCUGCCCUUGACUUUGGGAUAACUUCAGGAAACUGGGGCUAAUACCGGAUAGGAGCUCCUGCUGCAUGGUGGGGGUUGGAAAGUUUCGGCGGUUGGGGAUGGACUCGCGGCUUAUCAGCUUGUUGGUGGGGUAGUGGCUUACCAAGGCUUUGACGGGUAGCCGGCCUGAGAGGGUGACCGGCCACAUUGGGACUGAGAUACGGCCCAGACUCCUACGGGAGGCAGCAGUGGGGAAUAUUGCACAAUGGGCGGAAGCCUGAUGCAGCCAAGCCGCGUGCGGGAUGACGGCCUUCGGGUUGUAAACCGCUUUCGCCUGUGACGAAGCGUGAGUGACGGUAAUGGGUAAAGAAGCACCGGCUAACUACGUG